rnacentral:rRNA from 1 species
AUGGUUGUCGUCAGCUCGUGUCGUGAGAUGUUGGGUUAAGUCCCGCAACGAGCGCAACCCCUAUCCCCAGUAGCCAGCAGUAAGAUGGGCACUCUGUGGAGACUGCCAGGGAGAACCUGGAGGAAGGCGGGGAUGACGUCAAAUCAUCAUGCCCCUUAUGAUUUGGGCUACACACGUGCUACAAUGGCGUAAACAGAGGGAGGCGAAGGAGCGAUCCGGAGCAAACCCCAGAAAUAACGUCCCAGUUCGGAUUGCAGGCUGCAACCCGCCUGCAUGAAGCUGGAAUCGCUAGUAAUCGCGGAUCAGAAUGCCGCGGUGAAUACGUUCCCGGGUCUUGUACACACCGCCCGUCACACCAUGGGAGUCGGUAACGCCCGAAGUCAGUGACCCAACCGAGAGGAGGGAGCUGCCGAAGGCGGGACUGGUAACUGGGGUGAAGUCGUAACAAGGUAGCCGUAUCGGAAGGUGCGGUUGGAUCACCUC